CGAGCAGUCACCAAUGCGCCGACGCUCGACAUCGCGCCGCACGACGCACUGCCUAGAAGGACGAGGGAGUCUCCCAACAUCGUCACUGAAAGUGUCGUGAAAUGCGAGUCCAGCAAUGAGGACUCCAGCUCCAGCGUCUGCGAUCCUCACUGUGGCUUUGAUUUGGACAAUCCUGUACAUCUGUAUGCGCAAGCGAAGCGGCUGCAAGCGCUGCACGCGACCACGCACCGGCGCGCACGCAGCUCGGACGCGG